rnacentral:rRNA from 1 species
GACGAACGCUGGCGGCGUGCUUAACACAUGCAAGUCGAACGAUGAAGCCUAGCUUGCUAGGUGGAUUAGUGGCGAACGGGUGAGUAAUACGUGAGUAACCUACCUUUAACUCUGGGAUAAGCCUGGGAAACUGGGUCUAAUACCGGAUACGACCAAUCUCCGCAUGGGGUGUUGGUGGAAAGCGUUAUGUAGUGGUUAUAGAUGGGCUCACGGCCUAUCAGCUUGUUGGUAAGGUAACGGCUCACCAAGGCGACGACGGGUAGCCGGCCUGAGAGGGUGACCGGCCACACUGGGACUGAGACACGGCCCAGACUCCUACGGGAGGCAGCAGUGGGGAAUAUUGCACAAUGGGCGCAAGCCUGAUGCAGCGACGCCGCGUGAGGGAUGACGGCCUUCGGGUUGUAAACCUCUGUUAGCAGGGAAGAAGAGAAAUUGACGGUACCUGCAGAGAAAGCGCCGGCUAACUACGUGCCAGCAGCCGCGGUAAUACGUAGGGCGCGAGCGUUGUCCGGAAUUAUUGGGCGUAAAGAGCUUGUAGGCGGUUUGUCGCGUCUGCUGUGAAAGGCCGGGGCUUAACCCCGUGUAUUGCAGUGGGUACGGGCAGACUAGAGUGCAGUAGGGGAGACUGGAAUUCCUGGUGUAGCGGUGGAAUGCGCAGAUAUCAGGAGGAACACCGAUGGCGAAGGCAGGUCUCUGGGCUGUAACUGACGCUGAGAAGCGAAAGCAUGGGGAGCGAACAGG